rnacentral:rRNA from 1 species
GAUGAACGCUGGCGGCGUGCCUAAUACAUGCAAGUCGAGCGAACAGACGAGGAGCUUGCUCCUCUGACGUUAGCGGCGGACGGGUGAGUAACACGUGGAUAACCUACCUAUAAGACUGGGAUAACUUCGGGAAACCGGAGCUAAUACCGGAUAAUAUAUUGAACCGCAUGGUUCAAUAGUGAAAGACGGUUUUGCUGUCACUUAUAGAUGGAUCCGCGCCGCAUUAGCUAGUUGGUAAGGUAACGGCUUACCAAGGCAACGAUGCGUAGCCGACCUGAGAGGGGUGAUCGGCCACACUGGAACUGAGACACGGUCCAGACUCCUACGGGAGGCAGCAGUAGGGAAUCUUCCGCAAUGGGCGAAAGCCUGACGGAGCAACGCCGCGUGAGUGAUGAAGGUCUUCGGAUCGUAAAACUCUGUUAUUAGGGAAGAACAAAUGUGUAAGUAACUAUGCACGUCUUGACGGUACCUAAUCAGAAGCCACGGCUAACUACGUG